rnacentral:misc_RNA from 1 species
GAUGAAGAACGUAGCGAAAUGCGAUAAGUAGUGUGAAUUGCAGAAUUCAGUGAAUCAUCGAAUCUUUGAACGCACAUUGCGCCCGCCAGUAUUCUGGCGGGCAUGCCUGUUCGAGCGUCAUUUCAACCAUCAAGCCCCCGGCUUGUGUUGGGGACCUGCGGCUGCCGCAGGCCCUGAAAACCAGUGGCGGGCUCGCUAGUCACUCCGAGCGUAGUAAUACAUCUCGCUCAGGGCGUGCUGCGGGUUCCGGCCGUUAAAAAGCCUUAUUUACCCAAGGUUGACCUCGGAUCAGGUAGGAAGACCCGCUGAACUUAAGCAUAUCAAUAAGCGAGGA